GAGUUUGAUCAUGGCUCAGAUUGAACGCUGGCGGCAGGCUUAACACAUGCAAGUCGAGCGGAAACGAUGAUAGCUUGCUAUCAGGCGUCGAGCGGCGGACGGGUGAGUAAUACUUAGGAAUCUACCUAGUAGUGGGGGAUAGCACGGGGAAACUCGUAUUAAUACCGCAUACGACCUACGGGAGAAAGGGGGCAGUUUACUGCUCUCGCUAUUAGAUGAGCCUAAGUCGGAUUAGCUAGAUGGUGGGGUAAAGGCCUACCAUGGCGACGAUCUGUAGCUGGUCUGAGAGGAUGAUCAGCCACACCGGGACUGAGACACGGCCCGGACUCCUACGGGAGGCAGCAGUGGGGAAUAUUGGACAAUGGGGGAAACCCUGAUCCAGCCAUGCCGCGUGUGUGAAGAAGGCCUUUUGGUUGUAAAGCACUUUAAGCAGUGAAGAAGACUCCGUGGUUAAUACCCACGGACGAUGACAUUAGCUGCAGAAUAAGCACCGGCUAACUCUGUGCCAGCAGCCGCGGUAAUACAGAGGGUGCAAGCGUUAAUCGGAAUUACUGGGCGUAAAGGGAGCGUAGGUGGCUCGAUAAGUCAGAUGUGAAAUCCCCGGGCUCAACCUGGGAACUGCAUCUGAUACUGUUGAGCUAGAGUAUGUGAGAGGAAGGUAGAAUUCCAGGUGUAGCGGUGAAAUGCGUAGAGAUCUGGAGGAAUACCGAUGGCGAAGGCAGCCUUCUGGCAUAAUACUGACACUGAGGCUCGAAAGCGUGGGUAGCAAACAGGAUUAGAUACCCUGGUAGUCCACGCCGUAAACGAUGUCUACUAGUCGUUGGGUCCCUUGAGGACUUAGUGACGCAGCUAACGCAAUAAGUAGACCGCCUGGGGAGUACGGCCGCAAGGUUAAAACUCAAAUGAAUUGACGGGGGCCCGCACAAGCGGUGGAGCAUGUGGUUUAAUUCGAUGCAACGCGAAGAACCUUACCUGGUCUUGACAUAUCUAGAAUCCUGCAGAGAUGCGGGAGUGCCUUCGGGAAUUAGAAUACAGGUGCUGCAUGGCUGUCGUCAGCUCGUGUCGUGAGAUGUUGGGUUAAGUCCCGCAACGAGCGCAACCCUUGUCCUUAGUUACCAGCGGGUUAAGCCGGGAACUCUAAGGAUACUGCCAGUGACAAACUGGAGGAAGGCGGGGACGACGUCAAGUCAUCAUGGCCCUUACGACCAGGGCUACACACGUGCUACAAUGGUAGGUACAGAGGGCAGCUACACAGCGAUGUGAUGCGAAUCUCAAAAAGCCUAUCGUAGUCCAGAUUGGAGUCUGCAACUCGACUCCAUGAAGUAGGAAUCGCUAGUAAUCGCGGAUCAGAAUGCCGCGGUGAAUACGUUCCCGGGCCUUGUACACACCGCCCGUCACACCAUGGGAGUUGAUUGCACCAGAAGUGGAUAGCUUAACCUUCGGGGAGGCGUUCACCACGGUGUGGUUGAUGACUGGGGUGAAGUCGUAACAAGGUAGCCGUAGGGGAACCUGCGGCUGGAUCACCUCCUUA
rnacentral:rRNA from 1 species